rnacentral:lncRNA from 1 species
CCUCGUGUAAGAUUAUGGAAAUGCCAUGCAAGAGGCAUAACACGGCUGUGUCCCGAUCGGGCCGAGUACCCUUUGGAGAAGUUUUGCUCCAGAUGCAUCAGCUCAGGGCGGCUGCUGCUACCGAGGAGUCCCGAGAUGCUCCGGCCUUCUCCAUGUACUACAGGGGACUCACGGUGCAUUCCGGGAGCCAAACGCGUGACUCAGAUCUCUGUUUCUCCAGCGGCUCGAACUGCACGCUGCUGGGAGCUCUGCACAACCAAAACUGUGCCGGACCCAGCAAAACCUCUCCUGGUCAGUGGCGGAGGAAGCACAAGCACACGUAG